CCUACGGGCGGCAGCAGUGGGGAAUAUUGCACAAUGGGCGAAAGCCUGAUGCAGCAACGCCGCGUGAAGGAAGACGGUUUUCGGAUUGUAAACUUCUGUUCUUAGUGACGAAUAAUGACGGUAACUAAGGAGCAAGCCACGGCUAACUACGUGCCAGCAGCCGCGGUAAUACGUAGGUGGUAAGCGUUGUCCGGAAUUACUUGGUGGAAAGGGUGCGCAGGCGGAGGAACAAGUCAGCGGUAAAAUCGCGGGGCUCAACCCCGCUCCGCCGUUGAAACUGUGUCCCUUGAGUGCGCGAAGGGUAGGCGGAAUGCGUGGUGUAGCGGUGAAAUGCAUAGAUAUCACGCAGAACUCCGAUCGCGAAGGCAGCCUACCGGCGCGCAACUGACGCUCAUGCACGAAAGCGUGGGUAUCGAACAGGAUUAGAUACCCGUGUAGUC
rnacentral:rRNA from 1 species